CCUGGCAAUACUGAGGUUGUGU
rnacentral:miRNA from 1 species